AGUGUAAAUCAUCAUGAUUAAUAGAAAUAAAGGCUUCCAUCUGCGCAUAAUCUAUGUAAUUUCACUUGGUGUUAAAGUUCCUGAAAUAAUUGGACUUUUUCAUAAUAUUCUAAUUUAUACAGUUCCACUCAUACCCAGAUGUCGAAAUGAUAUUGGCAGCAGAACCAAUAUAGAUUUAAUAUUCAACUAUGUUUAUUCCUUAGAUUGUUAGAAAGAAACAAUGUUUCAGUUAAAGUACAUCACACAAAGCAGAGCUUUGAAACAUUUGACAAAAGCAUGAAAAAAAAAAAACAGGAAAAAAAACGUUAAUAGUUUCUGGCUUAUGCCGAUCAAUAUUUGAAAUUAGGGUGUGUGUUGAUGUCACAACCUGGCUCUGGGGUUAUGACAAAAGAAAUGAUGCAAAAUAAUGCUUUGCAAAUAUUUACUCUGGGAAAAAAUGGCCAAAGCAAACCAGAAGGCAAACAAAUGUGACCCUGAGUGACUAACAUUAAGCAGCUUAAACAAUUAAUUACCUGACAGGUCCAUCACACUGACCUCUGACCCCAGACCGAUGAAUUGUGAUCUUGUUGAAGAGGUGACAGUCAAGAUUUUCUUAAAGCUACAGGACUUUUAGAAUUCCAAAUGUGGCGUGAUGUUUCCCUCAGCAUUUCUUCAACUCAUGAGUUAAUGCUACACUGUGUUCUAUUCCAGCACUAAUUUCAUUUCUCUACAAAAUGUUGUGGAAGUAAGUCUCUAACUAUUCUUGUGUGUUUUCUAGUUGGAAGACGAUGUUUUUGCAAAGAACGGUUACUAUAGCGACAUGAAGGCAUUCGCCACACAGGCGUCUUCUAACGAAUGGCUCUACCUGGAAUUCUCCCAGCUUGGGUUUAUAGGUAAGAUGUUUAAGACCAGAGACCUUCCAAUGAUAGCCGAGUUCUUCUUCAUGUUCCACAAAGACAAGCCUAUCGACUGGUUGCUGGAUCACAUUCUGUGGGUGAAGGUUUGCAACCCAGAG